UUAGAAGAUACAAUGACAAAGACUCAUACGAACUUCGACUACACCAUCAAAGCUUUGAGAAGCAAGAAGCAGUUGGUUAGUGUUUUGGAGUCGAAUAUGACUUGAUGGCAUGUGUAUGAGUGAGUAUAAAAACUAGAACCGCAACGGAUCUUAAAAGCCUAAAUAUUGUAUCCUUGUUAGACGAUACAUAGACAAAGUCUCAUACGAAAUUCGGCUAAACCAUCAAAGCUUUUAGAAGCAAGAAGAAGCUUGGUUAGUGUUUUGGAGUGAAAUCUAACUAGAUGUCAUGUGUAUGAGUGAGUAUACCAACUAGAACCACAAUUGGAAUUUUAAAAGCCUAAGUAUUAUAUCCUUGUUAGAAGAUACAAAGACAAACACUCAUACGGACUUUGGCUACACCAUCAAAGCUUUGAGAAGCAAGAAGAAGCUUGGUUAGUGUUUUGGAGUCGAAUAUGACUUGAUGUGAUGUGUAUGAUUGAGUAUAAGAAAUUAAACCGCAACCGGAUCUUAAAAGCCUAGGUAUUGUUUCCUUGUUAGAAGAAACAAAGGCAAAGCCUCAUACAAACUUUAGCUUUACCAUCAAAGCCUUGAGAAGAAAGAAGAAGCUUGGUUAGUGUUUAGGAGUCAAAUAUUACUAGAUGUCAUGUGUAUGAGUGAGUAUGACAACUAGAACCAUAACCGCA
rnacentral:sRNA from 1 species